rnacentral:rRNA from 1 species
AUUGAACGCUGGCGGCAUGCUUUACACAUGCAAGUCGAACGGUAACAGGCCGCAAGGUGCUGACGAGUGGCGAACGGGUGAGUAAUGCAUCGGAACGUGCCCAGUCGUGGGGGAUAACGCAGCGAAAGCUGCGCUAAUACCGCAUACGAUCUAUGGAUGAAAGCGGGGGACCGAAAGGCCUCGCGCGAUUGGAGCGGCCGAUGUCAGAUUAGGUAGUUGGUGGGGUAAAGGCUCACCAAGCCGACGAUCUGUAGCUGGUCUGAGAGGACGACCAGCCACACUGGGACUGAGACACGGCCCAGACUCCUACGGGAGGCAGCAGUGGGGAAUUUUGGACAAUGGGCGCAAGCCUGAUCCAGCAAUGCCGCGUGCAGGAAGAAGGCCUUCGGGUUGUAAACUGCUUUUGUACGGAACGAAAAGGCUCUGGUUAAUACCUGGGGCGUUCUUGACGGUACCGGCGGAAUAAGCACCGGCUAACUACGUGCCAGCCGCCGCAGUAAUAC